UACGGAGGGGGCUAGCGUUGUUCGGAAUUACUGGGCGUAAAGCGCACGUAGGCGGCUUUGCAAGUUAGAGGUGAAAGCCCGGAGCUCAACUUCGGAAUUGCCUUUAAGACUGCAUCGCUAGAAUUGUGGAGAGGUAAGUGGAAUUCCGAGUGUAGAGGUGAAAUUCGUAGAUAUUCGGAAGAACACCAGUGGCGAAGGCGACUUACUGGACACAUAUUGACGCUGAGGUGCGAAAGCGUGGGGAGCAAACAGG
rnacentral:rRNA from 1 species